UACGUAGGGUGCGAGCGUUGUCCGGAAUUACUGGGCGUAAAGAGCUCGUAGGUGGUUUGUCACGUCGUCUGUGAAAUUCCGGGGCUUAACCUCGGGCGUGCAGGCGAUACGGGCAAUACUUGAGUGCUGUAGGGGAGACUGGAAUUCCUGGUGUAGCGGUGAAAUGCGCAGAUAUCAGGAGGAACACCAAUGGCGAAGGCAGGUCUCUGGGCAGUUACUGACGCUGAGGAGCGAAAGCAUGGGUAGCGAACCGGAUUAGAUA
rnacentral:rRNA from 1 species